GGGUUGCUAACUCAAUGGUAGAGUACUCGGCUUUUAGUUCCGGGUUCGAGUCCCGGGCAACCCA